AGGCUGUUUAAAAUAACAAGUGUUAUUUGUUUCUGUUGAAUUCUAUAAUAUUACUGAAAAGCAACAGUGAUAUAUGUAUAUAGUGAUAUGUAAUGAUUAUGUUUAUGUCUGUCUAUAUCUGUGUCUGUGUCUGUGUCUGUGUCUCUCUAUCUCUAUCUCUAUCUCUAUCUCUAUCUCUAUCUCUAUCUCUAUAUCUAUAUAUCUAUCUAUAUCAUCUGUAUCUAUAUCUGUAUAUCUAUAUCUGUAUAUAUCCAUAUCUAUAUAUUUAUAUCUAUCUUUGGUUGUGUUCACAUAUAAACAACAGCAUAUACUUAAUGUUGAAGUAAAGAAUCCUUCCCUUCAUCCUUUCUAUAAGCUCCCAAGGAAAUUAAAAAUACCAGAACACUGGAUUAAUCCAAGUUUUUACUGUUCAUGUAAUUUUUUAAAUAGGUAGAAACUAGUUUUAUACCAGCAUUUGAAAGCUGUUGAGCAGCUGUACUGGUGCGCAGAAUGCAGAACUCAGUGAAAAUGUCGCUGCAAACAGAAUGGGCUUCAGUAGAUGUUUAUAGACGUUUGCACAUGUUCCAAAUGAAAUUAUAUUCAUCUCCAGUGCCACAUUCUACAAAUCUCACAAAAAGGACUUACCUGUGCUCCAUAAAAGUAAUCCUUUGGAAUUCUUGAAUUAAAUUGAGGACAUUGUUACUCCUUUGUAUAGGAAACUUCUAAAAACACACAUGAGUUUCCCAUCUGGGUUUUUCUAUCUAAUCUCUACUGCAUUUUAUUCUAAAUUUAAACAACUUCUUGGAUUCUGUAUUUUGGAGAUAGUUGACUAUUAGGUAAGUUUAUAAGUUUUGUAUACAUCAUUUAUAAGGCGUUGUAUUUUUUCACUCUGUGUACAUGUGUCCAUAUAUUCCCUUCUGCCACCAACCAGAAGUUGUCAGAGUGAAAAAAAUUCUUUUCAUUUAACUUUUUUUGUAAGAAUAGCCUGGUUCUCUACUAGCAGAGGCUGUGUGAAUUAAAAGGUGUUUGGAAUUUCCUCUUGUGGGUCUAAUAAAAAUUUUAGUGUAGGUCUGAAUGUGUAUGUUAAUUUCUCACAUUUGUUUGAAAAAUACUUUAUAGUUUAAGCUAUUCUAGUUUCUCUUAUCUGUUAGUCUCCAUUCUAUAAUUAUAAUAUGAUCAACAAUUUGCUUUACAAAUUAGACAUGCUGCAUGGAUACAUUUAUUUGACAAAAUUAUGGUGUGAUUUCAGCUCUGAAAUAUAAAUUUGAUUGGAUCUGUAUGAAAGAUGAGUUUCUAACACAUGAUUUUACAUAUAUGCAGGUGUGUAUAUUUUUAAUUUUAUACACACUUGUGUGUGUAUCAUACAUACAUACAUACAUACGUACAUAAAAUCAUGGGUCUUGUAAGUUAACUUCAUCUUGCUUUGUCUACUUUUGUCUGUGAAGAUUAUAUAACGAAAUGACUAUUUUAAACCAAUUUAAGCCCAAAGAAAAGGUUAGAGUAAUUCCAAGUUUUAUAAGAUAAUAUAUGUCUUAGGUUUGAAUAGAAAAAUAUUGGCAAUAAAAGCUAAAAUCAAAGUGAUCUCUGUGUGGUAGGAUUAAACGAUGGGCUUACUUUUGUUGUGCUUUUAUAUUUUUCUUAAAUUUUCUAGAAUGAACACAUAUUCUUUAAUGAGAAUACUACAAAUACUUUAAAGUAAAUGUAGCUUAAAUCCCUUUGAAAGAAAAACCUUAAACUUAUUCUACCUUUUUGUUGAGAAAUACAUGAUUUUACUUGAUUAAUAAUAUGAAAAAUGUUUUAGUGUAAAGAACUUGAGUCCAAAUUGCAAACUGAACUGUAAAAUAGGUAAUAUUACCUUUUCACGUCACCAUCACAUUAACAUGUUAAUUAUGCUCUGAGAACACUUUUUUUUUUAACCUAGACCAUAGGUAGCAAUUAGGAAAUUUAACACAAAACAACAGUUUUUAAAAGUAUGUCCUGAGUACAAAUACAUACCAAAAUUUGCUAACAUGAACAUGUUUUUAUGAUAUAGGCUGAGCUAGUUCAAAAUUGAAAAAAAAACCCAUAAGAAUCAGGAAGUCUGACAGAUUUCAAAAGAAACAUGAAAUGUACCCAUGCUUUUAUGACUUUGCAAUUAAUUGAGCAGCUUUUUCCCUUGCUCUACUGUUUUAAUAUAUUGGUCUCCAAAUGCCCACAAUUCUUGUUUUCAUUUAUCUUUAAUUCAUCUUAGUUAGCCAGUUAAACUAAGACAGUACUCUUUUGACCUUGAAGAUGGAUGCAUCUUCGGAUCGUCAGCGCGUUAGUUCUCAUUGUGAUCCUUGUAGGCUUUUGGAGAUGCUGGAUGUUGUACUCUUUGGAGACCUUAAAGUAUUUUCUUUCUGGUCAUCUAGUUUAAUUCAAUAUUUCAGGGUAUGCUUAGUACUGGAAAAAGGCCUCUGAGCCAUGAAAAAUGUGGUUAUUUUCAAGGGAUUCAUUAACCUGUAAAAUGUUAUUUUCUUUACUCUGGUCAUUUUAGAGAGGACCUUGGAUGCAGACCCUAUUUAUUAGAGACUCCUGAGUGCAUAAAUCAAUUUUGACGUUUUCUUUGGUCUGAUGAUAAUGUGACUUGUUAAUAAUUACUGUAGUAACUUCCAAUUAAUGAGAAUUGUGACUUCAGAUUAGGUUCCUUCUAAUUAGUACUUUGUCAUUUUACUUCAUCAGAAAAUGGUGUUUGCUGGUCUGGAAUUAAGGAAAGAGUUCCAUUUGGCAAUAGGUGGUUCAUUAACACAUGGAAAAGAAAUAGACUGGCUCACACCCUUCUUUGCCAAUUGCAAAUGUUUUGUUAAAAGGAAAAGCUUGCUUUGCUUUGUGGGGGAUGGGUGUGGCAGAUUUCUUACACAAAACUCUUACAUUAGGUUUUCUCUUUAGGAAGAAGGUGUUUGAAAAGGAGACAUUGAAAUGAAACCAAGUGUGGUAAUCACAAGGCUCUAAAUGGUUGUGAAUGUGGAAGUAUUAAGGAGAUAUUUGGAAUGCCUCAGUAGUUAGCCACUCUAUAAAUAAAGAUCUCAUUUCAUAGAAGAGGUAGGGUUUUAGAAUGUUACAGUUUUAAGGAACCUUAAGAGAUUACUUAACCCAACCCCUCACUUUAGAAAUGGUGGAAUGGAGGCCCAGAGAGGGAAGGUAAUUGACAUUAACAUAGCAGGUCAGUAACAAGGGUUGGACCAACCCAAGGUUUCUUUACUCCCUGUACAGUGUUCCAGUUUGCUACCAUAUAUCGUUACUGUUUUAAUUGCUGUGCUAUCAGGAAGAUUAAUCUAGUCUAAAUGUUUUACGGGAAAUGCGAUUAUGAUUGAACUAGAGACUAGAAAAUACAGCAAUUUAUUUUCUUUAGGUUUGUAAAAAAUUUGGUACCAGAGAACGUUAAUUUCUUUCACCACAGUUAACAAAGUAAGUGAUGAAUAAGUAUAAGAAUUUUGAAUUUUGGCAUGUAAAUGCUUUUUAAAUUAAAUGUCAUUUGGAAUAAAGGAGACCAAAUAUGUAACUUAAGAGAUUUUCCUAGAGGUAGGUGUAGCUACUGCUGAAGGCUGGAUGGAAGCAGCGAACACUCAGGUCUGAAUUGAACGUUGGCAGAACGAUGAACAUAACCUCGUUCAUUUUCACCUAGAAGUCACCCCUUGGCAUCAUAGGGCAAAGGGACAUUCUGACCUCAUCGCUUCAAGGGCUCUUUCUGCCGUUGCAACAUGAGACAAAAGCUAAAAGGAUCAGGUUUUGAGCGGAUACUGAUGUCUCCAGACUGUUUUGAUUUCCAGUAUACUGAUAUCCGUAUACUAAGUUCUAUCUAUUUAUGUUGAAAUCUAGAGGCCUUCACUCUCAGGGGAGGAUGAGUGAGACAGCAGGAAGAGAUCAACUUUCGAAGCCUCCCUUUUUGUUUUGAUUACAAGGUGUUUUUACAGUUGUUACUUUUGUCCAGUCUUAAAGCAAACUAUUCACAUUGUUUGAAAUAACCAUAAGAAAUUUUGAAUGAUUUUCAAAUAGACUAAAUUGAGCUCUUGUAAUUUAAAAUCGUUUUAUUUUUGUUUGCGUUGGCUCUGCUUAUUGCGCUGAAAUAUUUCUUCAGGAAGGACCUCUUCUGAUCUGUGGUCUCCCUGGCAAGUGAAAUCAGUGUAAGCACUUGAAUUUCAAAUGCAUGUUUUUUACAUUUAGAUUGCUGUCCUCUGCUAUAGGAAGAGCUCACGAAAACCAUCUAUAGUUCAUAAGGCUGGACUCUUGCAGUGAAAUUAGAGGCCAUUAGAACUAUUGGUCUUAUUUCCAACUGAAUUAGUUAACUGCCUGUUAAGGUUCAGAGCUUAUUGACCAAUAGGCAUUUAUUACCCUGGCCAUAAUGACACAAUGAUUUCCAUUAAAUUCCAGAGUUUAUGGAAAUAAAAAAGAGAUCUUGUGAAGAAAGUGGUUAGUGGUUGCAUUUAAUUAUUAGGAUUAAUUAGGCAUUUAAAUGUAGAUAUAAAGUAUGUUUUAAAAACAAGUAUUUCUCUUUCGUUGCUCUGAGCCAAUUGUGCUGAAGGGGAUGAAGAUUUUGUUGUUGUUCUUAAAGUACUGCUGGUUCUCUUGUGUCACGAAGUGUAUACACUGAAAUUGCUGAGCCAUGUCUUUAGAGAGUACUUAUCAAUAUUACAGGAUAUUUGGUCGUUUAACAUUUGCCAUUAAUAAUAUUCAGGAUGAUUUUGAAAAUAAUCAACAUGGUUGGUAUAAGGAUAUUAAAUGCGUUCAUCUGGGAGCUUAAGAAAAUGAUUUGUCUUUUUUUCGAAGACUUUUAGUAUGAGAGUUUCAGAACCUGUGUUUCCAUCACAUCUAUAUUUUUAUUUAAUUAUGGUCACAAUUUUAUAAUUAAUAAGGAUUCUUUACAUUGGCUAUCAACUAAAUUAGAGGCUUUGCAUAUCGUUUUUGAACUUGUGGUUAAAAAUGUAUCUUAGGAGCUACUUAAAAGAACUUAUUAAAAAAUUAAUGUAUCCUGCAAGAAGGUAGAGAGAAUGACAGAUUAUGAAGUAGAACCUAGUUUUUAAGCUUUGGGGAUUCUAUCCAUUACAUUAAAAAUUGAUGUAGGAUCUGAAUAUUCAUCUGUAAGAUCAUUUGAAAUGAUAAGCUGCAGAAUUAGAGCUGCUUCUCUGUAGAAGACUAAUUUGCAAGUGUCAGCCGACAUUCCUUUCAAACAACUUGAAAUGGGUUUCUUAAUUUGCUUUAGAAGUGUAGUUUCAGAAAGUUGAUGCAACCAAGUACAUUUGCAUUUCCUCUGGACAGGAUAAAUCCACUUCAUUGAUAUUAGUUUGGAUAAUUUCUCCCCAAGGGGCAGUGCAUCUUUUUCAAACUCAGAGAUCCAAGAGCGUUAUGGGUAAAGCUUGCUAGGUUAAAUUCAUAUCUGUCCUGGCUGGGGAGCCUGCUGAGCCAUAUAAAAGAUGUAAAUAUGGAUUUAGUCUUUCUGGAUUUCAACGUCUGAGCAAAGGAAGGAGAGAGCUGAGAUUGUGAAAGACAUGGAGUUCAAGGCAUGAAUGCGGAAGCAGCUAGGAUUGCAAAUUUAGGAAAAGCAGAAUGAGAGAAGGUGUGCUAGUGGAAUGGAAUUAUUAGGUUAAUAAAUAUUUAUUGAUGGAUAGAUUAUAUCUCUGUGGUAGGUUGUAUGUAUACAGAUAUGAAUAAAAAAUAACCCCUGCUUUGAAAGAACUCACUUUCCAUUAAUUCGUUCGUUCAUUUGUUUGUUCAUUCAGUAAUCAUGGGGUACUGACUGUGUCAAAUAACCACCUUGGAAAUGCACAGAUGAAAACGCAUUGUCUCUGUACUUCAAGAGCAUUCAGUCUGUGGAACAUAUUCCUGACAUUCCUGUUUGGAGCACAGAAAAAGUGUUUCCUUGUAAAUGUUUUAGCGGGAAGCUGCACGCUAUAGGAAUGGAGACCUGGCUUCAGAGUUAGACAGUUCUGGGUUUGAAUCUGUGUUCUGUCGCUUACAAGCUAUUACCUUGGACAAGUGACUUAACCUUUGUUAGCCUCAGGACUCUUAUCUUUAUGUUUUUAAAUAAUUUUUAAAAAUUUUUUAUUUAUUUGAGAGAGAGCAUUGAGUGGGGGAUGGACAGAGAGGGGAAGAGUCAGAGAGAGAGAGACAGAGAGAAUCCCAAGCAGGCUCUGUACUGUCAGCGUGGAGCCUGACGUGGGGCUCAAACUCAUGAACUGUGAGAUCAUGACCUGAGCCAAAGUCAGAUGCUUAACCAACUGAGCCACCCAGGACCCUUAUCUUUAAAGAAAGACAUAGUCUGCCUUACAGGAUUAUUAAGACUAAAUAACAUUACUUAUGUGAAGGAGCUUGCCACAUACUAACACAUAUCAAUUUCAUUUCUGAUCCUUACCUUAAUAUUGCUAGUCCUGUGGUCCAGUGACAUUUUGUUUGAAGUAGAUCAUUGUGAACUGGCUGGGUAACGUAACCAUACUUUAGAGGAUAAUUUCUUUUUAUGGUGAAAAUGCUUAAAACAUGUUGAGUAACUGACUCAAAAGUUAAGUUUUAGAAGACAAUCCCUUUGUAAGUUGGGGAAGACCCCUAUUCAGUUUUUCCAUGCACUUGUUUAUAUGUUGCUUUGAAAUAAUUCCUUAAUUAUUUAAUGUGCAGUUUUUAUGUAUCUCCCCAGGUUGGUUAUUUGCUUUCUGAAAGCUGAGAUUAAUGAUCUCUUCUUAUAUACCCCUGUAGCACUGAAUUCAUUUAUACACAGUAGGUGGAGAACACAUUUUUGAUAAAAGGUGAUAGAGUUACAGAAAAAACCCAUGAACGAUUAAAUUAAUAAAAAAUGUGAAAUCAUUUUGAUUCUGCAGUUUGAAACUUGUCAAUGAAUGAUACUAGAAAAUGUUUCAGUCUAAAAGUUUCAGAGAGAGCUUAAAUGAUAGAGGGAACUUCCAGUUUAGCAACUUGUAACAUUCGGGAGAGAUGCAGAAUCCAUCGUUGUUCCAACAAAAGCUCCGCGUCCAAUGGCAUACCAGAGUGAUGUGGUGCAAGUGACUGUACCAGGUCAAAGAAGAGCGUUAAUCUGGAACUGUUUAGCCAAUCCAGGCACCAGUUGACUGUGAAUGUUACUGUUGGUGCACGAUUACCAAGACCUAGGUUUAUUAAUAGAGUUAUGUAGUUGUUUUGGUGGUUGUGCCUGUUUUCAGAUGAUUUUGUAAAAUAUAGAUAAUCCCAUUGAAUAGGUAUUUGAUAUUAUGUUGAUCAUAUUUGAUAUGUAUAUUACAUUUAAGUGAUAACCUGAAUGAAAUUUCUGAACAUUUCUCAAUCAAAAUAAUGUUUUAAGUUUCUAGUUAUGUAGGAAGUGCUAUGCUUUUCUGAUGGCUCUUUUUGAAAGGGAAUUCAUUUGCCCCAUCUCUGAUGUUUUUUUUUUGGAAUUGCUGCCAUAAUUUCAAUAGGAAUGCAUCACGGAAAGGACUAUUAUGCUGAUGAAUGAGAGCUUCCUGUGCCUGUUGGCAGGCACUAAGUAGGCUCUAAGCAAACUGAAAUUCAUUGAAUCUUAGCAGGGCUAUUAAGAAAAUAAGUGCAAAUUGUCAGGAGAAGAGAGGUUUGUUCCUUAACAUCAUCACUUGACUCUUGGGUAAGAAAUGUUAGGCAAGAAAGAGACUGUUUCAAUUUGUCAUCCUCCUGAGACUUCAAGAUGUUAUCUGUAGUGCUGAAAUAAACCAUUCCUUUCUAUAAGCAGAGAAAAUGAGAAAAUGGUUUAUGCCCAGAUUGGUCCAUUUAGUUAGGAGGACAGUCACAUAAAUAACUACCUAAGAAAACAAAAACAGAGAAAGAAAAUGGGAAACCUGAAUCCCUGGCAUAAACCCUUUCAGGAUUAAAGUCUCUGUAAAUAGUAUGUGCAAAAAAGAACUGCCUGUGUACAGGGGUAAUGUGCUCAGAGGACGGCACUGUGAACUUGAACCUUUUUACCUUAGUUUUUCCAACCAUAAAAGAAAAGCCAUUUUCUUUUCUAAGGGAAAAGCUAGAUUAGCUCAUGGAGUUUUUUGUUGUUUUGUUUUAAUAAACAAUUGACAAUUGGUUAGGUUUAGGGUAUAAGCCCUGACCCACGUUUUAUGGACUUUGGUUCCAAUGUCAAGUUAAGUUUUCAGAGCCUUUCAAGUUCUACUAGGACCUUUCUUUUUGUAUGUAUCUAUCACCUGUUGGCCAGUCUGAGAACUAGGUGGUAGUUUAUAUCCUAGAGUUUUGUUCUCAAAGCCUUUGGUAUGAUAUUUAGGGUCAGAUCCAUAACACCUCUCAAAAGCUCCCUCCUAUCAUCUGAUCUCCUUGACACUUCCCAGCUCUCUGGCUGUCCACCUCCCUUCCCAUCCUCGAGCCCAAACUGGGACUUUCCCUGCUUUGCCAGGCAUAUCCCAUCAUUACUUCUAUAUGAGGCAUCAAAUAGUAAGAGGGCAGAGAGAGACAGAGGAAAAAAAAAAAAAACCACAUUGGGACUCAUCCUGUACUCUUGGGACCAUAGCUCUUGUGACCAGAGGAAAGGGUCCCCUUCAUCAAAAUUUGGGCUGCCUGUCCAGCAACUAUUGCUAUCCCUUGUUACUUGCCUGGAGUGUUAGACUGGGAAAGAAUGGAAAGAGGAUUUAAAACACAGGAUUUUCUCCACUCUUACCCUCAGGAGUCCUCUUUUUUGCUUCUUUGACCAGAUGGAAGAGACUUUUUUUGGAGUGUUUUCUGUUUGAAUCCAAUGAGUACUUCCUUAUUUUGAGCUGCUUUUGAAUCCAAGCCAGGUAAUACCAGAUGGGAAGGAUAAACAAAACAAAAUGGAAAACCCAUUGCUGGUUUGGUACUACUUUGAAUUCUGGACUCUUUCCUUAAUUCAUCAGCUACCGUUUACCGUUCAGAGUCCUCAGCUGUUCCAUAAAGUCUUUCUAGGUUGUAGUUGUAUUCAGUGGGAAAUACUGGAUGCUUACUCCAUGUUGCCUAGAAAUGGAACCCCCUUCUCUUUUGAAAAGAUAUAAAGUGUACGGUUACAUUUUUGUGCUAGUAAGUAUCAAAAGGCAGACAUUUUCCUUUUUUUUUGUUUUUCAUUGUGCUAUGUGCUGCCUGAACACACAUGCACCAAUGUGGAAAGAUUAUAUAACGUAGGAAGGGGAAAGAUAGAGGCAGCAAAGUUUGUCAUUUAGAAAAACACGAGUGAAAUCCUUGUGCAAGCCUUUUGAGGCAUGUAUUCUUACUUUCAGCUCUGCUCUCACCCCUUGCUCAUGUCACCUUCUUUAUGUCCCUUUCCCGAAUACCUACUCUUUUCUGGAGACUCCUCCUGUGAGCUAGCAGCCGAAGCCGUUGACAAAGGUUAGGUUGCCUGUAGUGUUUGCUAGUGCUUCUCAAAUUUACUUUGCCAAACAUCUCAAGUCAGAAGAGAGGGGUUCUUCCAGGGAUUAGGACUGUCGGCAGAGUAGAGAUGGGCAUUUCUUUAUGUUUUCCUUUUUAAGAAAUUAUGUGAGUUCUUCAUUUUCUUCUAGAAUUUCUCAUAUAAAAAUAAUUCCCCAUUGAUUGUUUAAAAAAAAAAGUACCACUAUGGGGCAGGAUGCUGAUAGUGGGGGAAGUCCUGAGUGUGUCAGAACAAUGCUUAUAUGGGAAUUCUUUGUAAUUUUCAUUCAAUUUUGCAGUGAAUCUACAACUGCUCUAAAAAUAAAGGUCAUUAAUUUAAAAAAUUCUCUCCCAGAAACUUCAAAUAAAUGUGACAUUUCAGGAGAUGUGUUAUGGCAUUGUACAGCUUUGCCUUUCUCCAUGGUAGAAUGCUAUGGACUCCCAUUUAAGUUAUAAUUUUAUGAGAAAAAGAAGGGUUGAUAGAAAAAUUAUGGAGUGAGUUACUGAUGGUGGAGUUUCAUGUGCUCACAGAAACCUUAGGUAGAACUCCUAUAUCCCAAUACACAGCACUUAUGGUAGUCAUUUCUGUUAGGCUGCUUUCUGGAAGGAACGCAUUCCCAUUAAUCUGGCAUGGUUUAGGUAUAGCUACAUUAUGGUAGGUGACCUGCCAACUGUUUUUUUUUUUUCUUUCAAUAAGUAGGUGAGAAUUCAGUCUUUUUUAAUUCCCACAUCGUUAGCUUCACUGUUUUUCCACAUCCACCAUUCUCUCUGUCCACCACUAUUUUGUUUCCGUUUUGCUUCUGGUCUUAGCACAUUCCCCAGGAGUAGGCUGUGUGUGUGAAGGCACACAAACUCUGUGUUCCAGGAUGAAUUGAGAAUUGGUAGGGUAGGGGCAUAGAACUCAUGUGAAAGCCAGAUGAUUUCUUGGAGAUUGUUCAGGAAAUUCUCUGGUUUUCUUCUUGGCAUGAUUUUACACCCCUCCUGUGCCACACCCAUAGAGUGAAGGCACAAGAUAUGGAAAGUUCAGAACCAUUGCUCUAAGGGACCUCAGACUUCUUUCACUGUUUAUUUUUAAAGCUUAGAAGAGAAACUCCAGAUGAUGGUACACACAUUUUAUAAUCUGACAUAAACAUUAACAUUGGGAGUCCCUCCAACACUAGAAAAUGACACCUACUUAGUUAUUUAACUCCUGGUUGUCAUUUCAUCUUUUCUUUAACUUCUUAUCAGAUUUCUAAUUUAUUUUUAAAAUAGGAUUUCCUUGUAAUUUUUUUUACCUUAACACUUUUGAUACAAUUAGUUAAAAAUUAAUUUUGGGAAAUAGCUGAUACAAUAUGAAACAAUCAGGACUGAGAGACGAUUUCCUUUAGAAAUUGAUAUUAAAUGAACCCAGAGCCGAUGUUGGGGAGAAAAACAGUUCACAGCUGCAGAUUUGGUUAGAACAUUAUGUUUAGGCCAUUUGGGCCUCUGACUCUGGGUUGCAAACUCAAUAAUGGUGUUUGCUAAAAUAGCUUCCAAUCUCUUGCAUGUGCUUUCAGCAUAUAAUCAGGCAGACUAGUAAAAAAUAGAAGUGUAGUUUUCUGGAGAGAUAGGAAUGAUUACUCCCAGCUGAGCAGGUAAAACAUAUUGCUACAUGAAAAAUGUGUUCUUUGCUGAUUCUCAGGGUUUUCUUUAUUUUUAUUUUUACUUUUAAUAUAAAGUGUCAGCAGACAGAAGCAAGAGAAAAUUCACUUGAAAAUGUCAGAAAAUAAAAGAAGCCUAGCAAAUUGUAUCGCAGGUAGAAAUCCAUUUCAGCCAGCAAACAAACUAGCAUGGCUGAGAAGCUUGCUGAUGGCUCCUUUUGUUUCUUGAUGAUUUAAAGCCUCAUGCUUGUAAUCUAAUUAACAUCGAACUGAGUUGCAAGUACAGUGGCCUGUUUGGUUCAAUAAUAAUACAUUUAUAUGAAAGGUUAAUGAAAUGAAUUUUUCCUCCAUUCAAUUCAUUAAAAAUUGUUCUACAAUCAACGGUUGCUAAUGGAAUAGAGAUUAAAUAUUCAUGUUCAUAAAUUUUCUGUGUCAUUUCUGAUUUUCCUUCAUUUCUGCCUCCAUAGAGUGAAUUUUGUGAGCGUAAGAGUUCCCAGACAAAAACCUUGAUUUAGAGGUUAAUUGCACACCAUUAAUUCUUUUAUCAAAGAGGUAGUGUGGAAUACUGGAAAGAGAAAUAGUUUGGCAGUGGGUCUGUCUCACUUUGUAACUGUGUGAUUUGGGGCAAGUUUCAUAACCACCUCUUUUGGGCAAAAGGUAUUAUAGGAACUUCUUGCAAGAUAGCAUGAGGGUUAGUGAUAAACUAUGGAAAGCACCUGGCCCUGUGCGGGGUACAGGAUUAGCAGUUCAACAAAUAACCAGAAACACUGGGGGAAAUAAAACACCUACUUAUAUGCCGUAGACCUUCAUGAUGAUUUACAGUGGCGGGACUGCUUAUAGCAAGGCGGGGCUCUCAUUAAUUCUGAAAUAGGUGUCAGGCUUGGGCCUUACAACACCUUGUAAUUCUCAUCGGUGUUAUCAGUAUAAAGUCUCUGGAAGACUGUUUCAUGUUUCUACAGAUAGAUUUUUUGGUCAUCUAUUUUCUGCCACCUCUUUCUUCUUUUUCACCUGGGUCGAUGGACCUUACUUAAACUGCAUAUGAUGUUUUCCCAAAUAAUGAAUUUACUAGAAAAUUGAAGCUUACGCAAUCAACUGCCAAAGUGUAAACGUUUUAUUUUUUUGUGUGAGAGAGAAUAAAAGUGAGCGAGAAGGAGUGGGAAUGUGUGAGGGGCAGAGGAAAGGGAGAGAGACAAUCUUAAGCAGGCUCCCCAUGCUGGGCUCCAUCUCAUGGUUUUGAGGACAUGAGAUUGAGAUCUGAGCCAAAAUCAAGAGUUGGAUGCUUAACCAACUGAGCCACCCAGGCACCCCAAAGUGUGAACAUUUUUAAAAACACUUAUGAUUUUAAAAUUUCCUUCAAAUGCAUUUCCUACUUUACAGGCUUCUUAAACAGAAGAUGCCAAGCAUAACUAUUUUCCUAGUGACUCAAGGUGAUCAUUAUGAUCAUUUAUUUUUGUUUUAUGCCUAAUUUUUAUCAGUCCCUCACUCACUUCACCAAAGGUGAUUUCUGAUCAAAAGCUGGUGAAUCAGGGGCGCCUGGGUGGCUCAGUCAGUUAAGCGUCCGACUUGGGCUCAGGUCAUGAUGUCACAGUUUGUGGGUUCUAGCCCCGUGUCAGGCUCUGUGCUGACAGAGCCUGGAGCCUCCCUUCAGAUUCUGUGUCUCCCUUUCUUUCUGCCCCUCCCCUGCUCAUGCUCCCUCUCUGUCUCUCAAAAAUAAGUAAUAAAAAAAAAGUUAAAAAAAAAAAGGUGGUGAAGCAGAUGAGCCACUUGAUUAAACAGCAAAUACCAAAUAAGAGGAAGGUUAGUGAGAAAUUCAGUUCAACUUUUUAAAGAGUAGCUACUUGUGUUUUAUAUUUCUUGUGGUAUCAGUCAGCAGUCAUUGUUACAACACUUUGAGGUCAUCAUUAUUAUCUUCUCUAUAAGUGGAAAUGAAACAUGAAGUUUGGUGAAGUUACAUUAAGUGCCCUGGCCAAAGGCACACACAGCUAAAAAGUAAUCAGGAUAGGAUUCCAGAGAGCCUAAUGAGUCCUUUCUCUUCCACCACAGGUGCCUUGGGAGUAAGGCACAUAGCUCUCAUUCAGAGCUUUAGUUCAGUAGUUAUUAGUCUUGUUUAAUAUCUCCCCUUUCUUUUUUCUUUUUAUUUUAGAUAGAGCACGAGUGGGGAAAGGGACAGAGGGGGAGAGAGAGAGAAUCUUAAGCAGGCAGAGCCCAAUGUGAGGCUUGAUUCCAUGACCCAGAGAUGGUGAUCUGAGCUGAAAUCAAGAGUCGGACGCUCAACCAAUAGGCGACCCAGGUGCCCCUAAUAUCUCCCCUUUCAACUUUCAGUGGAGAUUUGCCUUUGGAGGUCUGUUGCUAGAGGAGGACCUAAUUUUAGAACUGCAUUGUCCAAUGCAGUAGCCACUAGCCACUUGUAGCUAUUUAAAUUUAAAGUAAUUGAAAUGAAAUAAAAUUUAAACUUUAAUUUCUUAGUCACUUUAGGCACAUUUCAAGUGCUCAGUGGCCAAGUGUGGCUGGCUAGUGGCUACCAUUAUUAGAUAGUACAGAGAACAGUUAUAUUACUGCAAGAAGUUCUAGUAUUCUUUCCCUUUGUCUAAGGGAAACUUACACAAGAAUAUACAUAACAAAAUUAAUGUGCACGUAUGUAUCCAUAUGGGUAUCUAUGAUGUAAGAUGGUGAAAACUAAGUAAGGAUAUGGGUCCUGUCCCUUCAUUUUUAUAUAUCACAGUUUUAUGUGAUAUCAUGUGUAAUUUAUAUUAUAUAAUUUUAUGGUUGGUGUUGUGUGCAUAUUUACAUUUUGCUCAUAUGCAUAUCUUUUAAGUAAUAGUCUUUUAUUUUCCCAUACAAAGCAGUCCUGGAGAAGUAUAUGAAAGUCAAAUAUAUAAAAUAUUACGUAGGACAAUACUAAACUAGAGAUUGACAGGUUCAGUGAGUGCAAAGUGUUCAUUCCUAGAUAACUAAAAAAUAAAAUAUCAAAUCAGGCCUUUCCUGUCAAGAAUCAUUUUUACAUAGUCUCUGGUUUUAUUCUUUGCCAUCACAACAAAACCGUACUUAGUUGUACCGUGUACAUCCAGGGAUGUGAAAUUUUUCUGCUUUUGGCACCCUGUAAUCAUUUUCAUUUUUCAACCAGUUGUGUUAAAUUAUAGAUUAAUACAGCUGCCUUUUAAAACGCUAGAAUUGGCAUUUCUAUUUUCCUUAUUUCUACUCAUUUUUAAAUAAAAUAGUAAAGGAAAACUCAGUAAAAUAAUUACACAAUUUAUAAACAUCGUUGAAAAAGGUGAUGAUGUGGUAGCAGGUGGUAUGAUUGGCUAGAAAGUAUAUCACCAUGUUAUAGACUUAUUUAAUCUUGAGAAAAUGUAAAAAUGUUCAAAUUCAAACAGUGAAAGACAGAUUAGGAAUAUUAGAGUAUAACAUGAAGAAAGUACAGAUUAAAGCAGAAUAUUUGUGAAUGAUUGAACUAAGUAAUAGAUUGUACAUGUAAGCAAACACACUUAAUUUUGUGUAGCAUUAUAUAUUACAUGUAUUUGUUCUAUAUUUUAUGUCCUGAAUAUACACAUGAACCUACAUGCAUAGUAAUUUACCUUAUCACUCAUUUGAGCUGUGGGAGAGUAGGAUGUUAUGUUAUUACUGAGUUCAGUGAUGUUUUAGAAUUGGAAACUAGGGGUGCCUGGGUGGCUCAGUCGGUUAAGCGUCUGGCUUCGGCUCAGGUUGUGAUCUCACAGCUCAUGAGUUUGAGCCCCACAUCAGGUUCUGUGCUGACAGCUUAGAGCCUGGAGCCUGCUUUGGCUUCUCUGUCUCCCUCUCUCUCUGACCCUCCCCUGCUCACACUCUGUCUCUCUCUCUCUCUCUGUCUUUCAAAAAUACAAACAUUAAAAAAAAGAAAAUAAAAAGAAAAAAAAUAGAAUUGGAAACCAGAAAUGGAAUGUUGGAAGUAAAGGCUUACGGUCAAACUCCAGGGGUGCUUGAGGGGUGAAUAACUUAUUGUUUCCCAUGUUUAGUUUUUGAGGAUUUGUACUUUAACCCUGUUUUAGUCCAUCUGGACUGCUAUAACAAAAUACCAUAGACUGGGUGGCUUAAACAACAAACAUUUAUUGCUUGCUUGGAAGUCCAAGAUCAAGGUGACGGCAGGUGUCCAGUAAGGGCCUACUUCCUGGUUAAUAGCUCGCCGUUUCCUUGCUGUGUUCUUACAUGGCAGAAGGGGUACCGAGCUCUGGGAUCUCUUUUAUAAGGAUGCUUGCUAAUCACGUUCAUGGGGGGCUCCACUCACAUGACCUAAUCACUUCCCUAAAACACCACCUCCAGAUAUCAUCACCAUGGGGAUUAGGUUUCAACAUAGCAAUAUGGAGGGACACAAACAUUCAGUCCAUUGCAAACUCUCUGAGAUGAGAGGAACGGCCACAUAAUAAAAAAGCAAGUAUCAACAGUUUUAAAAACAGGGCAUAAAGACUUUGGUCAUUAGUUACGUUUUUUUCAUUAUUGCUAAAAUAUUACAAGCCCUUACUGUUAGUAAGUGGUUACUGAAGGCAGCAGUCAAGAUAUUUAGAGCUUUUCAUAUUCUUCCUCUCUAGACUGUGCAUCGCUUGAAGGUAGGAGCCCUGACUGCUUCUUUGUAUUUGUGGUACACAUCGCAGUGCCUAAUGCUAUAUAUUUUUAGGGAAUUUAGUGGAAGGAAGGAAGCAUGGAAACUUAUUCUGGUAACCCAACUGUAUUUUUAUUAUUUGUGAGAUCAUUUAGUGGCAUGUGUGGACUGAUCAUUGAGGGUUCUUUGUGAUGAACAACAAAAAAUGAAUGAGUGCCAACACUUGAAACUCUAGGCAUCCUACUUUUAGUCCCGUGUGUUCACCAACUCCCUCCAAAUUUCUCUUCUUAGCUAAAGCUUCAGGUUAAAACCAUUGUUCUCAGGUAUAGGUGCUCUCGGUAGUGAAUCCACAUUGCCCUUCCUUUUCCAUCUGCUGCAUUGCCCUUCCUUUUCCAUCUGCUGGCCAGAAUGUGGUGUAUGUGAGGGGGUUGUUGAGACAUCCAGUGUUCGACCUGGCUUCCUGGGCCCCACCUUCCCUCGCUGCUGCCCAUAUACUGUCUCUACUCAAUCUCAAAUGAUAAAAAUUUGCCCCUUUCCCAGAUGAAGCAGCUUCCUGUGAAAUCUGUGACGGUAAGAGAAAAAGUAGUAGCAGGGACCAGUAGGGAAGAAGCAGAUGGGCUACAGCAGAUCACAUGAGUUUUCUUGAAGCUGUGGGAAAUCCUGUGGAUCUCAGCACAUCUUGACCUUUGCUUUGAAAAAGACUGGCAUAGGAUCCUGUGGGUGGCUGCUACAUCUCCCAAGACCUGAUAAUACUAAUUUGUUUUAGUCAGGUGGUUCAAAUUUUGUCUGGGAGCAGUGGGUUCCCAGUUGCAGACAGUCUUUUAGGGAACAAGGAGAGAAGUGAAUGAAGCAUUGAUAGGAAUUGAAUGAUGUUGAACAAUAAAAUAUUUAAAACAUUUAUUGGACUCCCCUUAUAUUCUGUUGGUCUGUAAUUAUGUGUUCUUUUUGUCGUUCUUUUCUCAUUAACUAAUAAUCAGAAUAGCUAAUUUUAUUGUGUACUUACUCUGUGUCAGGCACACUGCGAAAUUCUUUUUAUUCAAUCACAGUAACCCACAGUCUAUCUUAUCAUCAUCAAGUGAACUCCAUAGUAGCAUUUCUCUCACAAAAGUAUAGAGAACUAAUUUUUAUUCAGCAGCUAUUUGUACAUACAAUGAAUAUAUGAACAUAUGUACAUGCAAUGAAUAUCGUAUAGAAAAAAGUUGGGGGAGUCCAAAUCUAUGAGUUUGGACUAAUUGUGCUUAUGUCUUGACAGGGAUACAACUUUUAAGCUUUUCACUGAGGAAAUCUUAUAAAGUUGAGUUGGGGAUUCUGGAGGGGCAUAAGAGAGACCUUUAAGUCUUCUCUCUUACAUCUCUUUUCGAAACCUUCUAAAGAAAAGAAGCCAGGUUGUGGGCAGUAUGGCCAAGUCGUACUUUUUCUCAUCUUAUUUUUGAGUGCCCUAAGAAAACAAAACAUGCAUACUCGUCUUUUUUGUAACUACUGUGUAAAACUUGAGACCAUAACUUACAUUUAACACUGGACUUUGCUUACCUACACAGAAUAGAUAAAUGAUUUCAUUGUCUGACAGGGAAAUCGGUUGUUCUUUCGGUGAAGUAAUGAAUGAUAAUGUUUUUGUUUUAAAUAUACAAGAAGUUAUCAGAAUUCAUCGAGACUACUAUAGGAUUUUUGUGUGUUUUUCUCCCCCCAACUUCACUGAAAUAACAGCACUAUAAGUUUAAGGUGUACAAAGCAUGAUUUGAUUUACAUGUAUUGUAAUUGUAAUUGAAAUGAUUACCAUAAUAGAUUUUUGUUUCUUAAAAUAUAUACCUGAAAUCAAUAACCACAGAGAUUUUUAUCUCUUUCCAUAAAUAAUUAUAAUUUACAGGUAUUUGGCAUAUAUACAUGUAUAUAUAUUAUAUAAGUAAGUAUACUUAUUUUAGUUUACAUUUUCUAUAAAUGCUGCAUUAAAGCUAAACUAUAGCUGUUUUUAUUUGGAAUAUUCAUUGCAUGUACAUAUAUUCAUAUAUUCAUUGCAUGUACAAAUAGCUGCUGAAUAAAAAUUAGUUCUCUAUACUUUUGUGACAGAAAUGCCACUAUGGAGUUCACUUGAUGAUGAUAAGACAUAGACUGUGGGUUACUGUGAUUGAAUAAAAAGAAUUUCACACAGUGUACCUAACACAGAGAAAGUACACCAUAAAAUUAACUAUUCUGAUUAUUAGUUAAUGAGAAAAGAACCACAAAAAGAAUACAUAAUUACAGACCAACAGAAUGUAAGGGGAGUCCAAUAAAUAUUUUAAAUAUUUUAUUAUUCAAUAUAAUAUUAUUCAAUUCCUAUAUGUUAUAUAUUGCCUCUUGGAUUCUAGAAAUCACCUAAAAUGUGACGUGCAAAGUGUAGUGAAAAAUAUCUAUAAACACAUUAAAGAUUAAAACAGUGGCUGAGUCCAUUGAAAGGAAAUGAUCUUAUGAAUUAGUAAUGAAAGUGCAUUUACAGGUUAUUGUACUAGGGUCUGAGUUUUAACAGCUGCUGGUAGUUUAAACUAAUAGGACUCUGAAUAGCCCAUAAUUGAGGAUUCAUUCUGUUUAUGGAUUGUUUCUUAAUAGAAACACUUAAUAGUAUUACCUGUCUUAAAUUACUUCAAAGACUAGUUAUAAAAAUGAAAUAAGAUAAGGUAAGUACAUAUGUUUUAUAAACAUGAUAAGUGCGAGAUAUCUCAGUGUGUAUGUAAUAUACAAAAUUAUAAAAUUAUGUAUUAAGUUUAUUGAGUGAUAGUUUUAGGAGUUGUUUGAAGCUUCAUUUAGAUCCCAUGAAUAUAAUUAGUGACAAUUUCAAAGUGUAUUGGACUGAAAGAGUUAAAUUUGUGUUACAAACAUAUAAUAUUAGAAGAGUAUUUAAGUUAAAUAGGAGGCCAGGUAUUUUAGAAACAGAUGCCAUAUAGGCCAUGAAUAUAUUAAUGUCAUUUAGAACAUGUUUUUAAGUUUAUUUAUUUUGAGAGAGAAAAAGAGAAAAUGCAAGUUGGGGAGGGGCAGAGAAAGAGGGAGAGAAAAAGAAUCCCGAGCAGGCUCCACACUGUCAGCACAGAGCCCGAUACGAGGCUUGAACUCACGAACUGUGAGAUUGUGACCUGAGCCGAAGUUGGAUGCUUAACUGACUGAGCCACCGAGGUGCCCUAAUUUUUUUUUUAAUGUUUUUAUUAAUUUUUGAGUGAGAGCAUGAGUAGGGGAGGGGCCAAGAGAGAGGAGGACAGAGGAUCUGAAGCAGGCUCUGUGACCUGAGCCGAAAUCAGACACUCAACUGACUGAGUCCCCUAGGUGAGCCAUUAAUGUCAUUUUUAUGUAUCAUUUAAUCAGGUACAAGGUCCUUACCUGGUUAUAUACUAGUAACAUUUUGCUCCUUUACUUCUUUUGACUCUGUGUGCUUGAAAACAAACUGCAUGUUCUUAAGACUAUUCUAAAAUUUAAAUAUUUUAUUAAUUUUUCUGGCCCUUUUUGCAAUUAGCUGGAAGGAAGGCUGUUUUCUUCUAAUCAGAAUUGAUCAUACUAGUUUUUCAAACUAAUCCAAUUAAAGAACACAAAGGCCAGUAAUCUUAUUUUGUUUCUAAGCAAAGCAUACAUAGAUAACAGCUUUUAAAUAUUAUGUCUGAAACACCACAUUAAAUGUAGCUAUAUUAUAGCACUCAUUAUUAAAAUUAUCUUAAUAACCAUCACACAUUGAUUUUUCCCUUUAAUUAUAGAAAAGAGGAAAAUUUGAAAUAAUCAGAAUUUGAGUGUCUCUCAUUUAUCUUGCACUGUACCAGAUACUUUGGUGAGAUAUAAACAAAUUUCCAAACACCUUGACUUUGAGGAGCUUAAAGGCAGGCUAAAAUAUAUUUUAAAAAUUAUAAAAAAAACAUUAAAAGGGAUUUGUAAAUAAAUGCCAAAGAAUGUGAUAAAAUUAAUAAAUGUUCUAGAAGUGACAAGAGUGAAAGUUUAAAAAAUUUUUUAAGUUUUUAAAAUUUAUUUCAGUGAUCUCUACACCCCACGUGGGGCUUGAACUUAUGACCCCAAGAUCAAGAGUUGCAUGCUGUGGGUGCCUGAGUGGCUCAGUCGGUUAAGUGUCCGACUUUGGCUCAGGUCAUGAUCUCACGGUUUGUGGGUUCGAGCCUUCAGAUUCUGUUUCCCUCUCUGUCUGCCCCUCUCCCACUCAGGCUUGCUCAAGUGCAUGCGCGCACUCUAUUUCUCUCUCUCUCUC